rnacentral:rRNA from 1 species
AUUGAACGCUGGCGGAAUGCUUUACACAUGCAAGUCGAACGGCAGCAUGGACUUCGGUCUGGUGGCGAGUGGCGAACGGGUGAGUAAUGUAUCGGAACGUGCCCAGUCGUGGGGGAUAACGUAGUGAAAAUUACGCUAAUACCGCAUACGAUCUAUGGAUGAAAGCGGGGGAUCGCAAGACCUCGCGCGAUUGGAGCGGCCGAUAUCAGAUUAGGUAGUUGGUGGGGUAAAGGCCCACCAAGCCAACGAUCUGUAGCUGGUCUGAGAGGACGACCAGCCACACUGGAAGUGAGACACGGUCCAGACUCCUACGGGAGGCAGCAGUGGGGAAUUUUGGACAAUGGGCGAAAGCCUGAUCCAGCCAUUCCGCGUGCAGGAUGAAGGCCCUCGGGUUGUAAACUGCUUUUGUACAGAACGAAAAGGUUUCUACUAAUACUAGGAGCUCAUGACGGUACUGUAAGAAUAGGCACCGGCUAACUACGUGCCAGCCGCCGCAGUAA